rnacentral:tRNA from 1 species
GGCCCCAUCGUCUAACGGUUAGGACAUCGCCUUCUCAAGGCGGUAAUCAGAGUUCGAUUCUCUGUGGGGUCACAA